AUACAGAGGGUGCGAGCGUUAAUCGGAAUUACUGGGCGUAAAGCGCGCGUAGGCGGCUACUUAAGUCAGAUGUGAAAUCCCCGGGCUCAACCUGGGAACUGCAUCUGAUACUGGUAAGCUAGAGUUUUGGAGAGGGAAGUAGAAUUUCAGGUGUAGCGGUGAAAUGCAUAGAGAUCUGAAGGAAUACCAGUGGCGAAGGCGACUUCCUGGCCAAAAACUGACGCUGAGGUGCGAAAGCGUGGGUAGCAAACGGGAUUAGAAACCCCAGUAGUCC
rnacentral:rRNA from 1 species